AGCGCAUACGGUGGAUGCCUUGGCAGUCAGAGGCGAUGAAAGACGUGGUAGCCUGCGAAAAGCUUCGGGGAGUCGGCAAACAGACUUUGAUCCGGAGAUGUCUGAAUGGGGGAACCCAGCCAUCAUAAGAUGGUUAUCUUGUACUGAAUACAUAGGUGCAAGAGGCGAACCAGGGGAACUGAAACAUCUAAGUACCCUGAGGAAAAGAAAUCAACCGAGAUUCCCUUAGUAGUGGCGAGCGAACGGGGACUAGCCCUUAAGUGGCUUUGAGAUUAGCGGAACGCUCUGGAAAGUGCGGCCAUAGUGGGUGAUAGCCCUGUACGCGAAAAUCUCUUAGUCAUGAAAUCGAGUAGGACGGAGCACGAGAAACUUUGUCUGAAUAUGGGGGGACCAUCCUCCAAGGCUAAAUACUACUGACUGACCGAUAGUGAACUAGUACCGUGAGGGAAAGGCGAAAAGAACCCCGGAGAGGGGAGUGAAAUAGAUCCUGAAACCGUAUGCGUACAAGCAGUGGGAGCCUACUUUGUUAGGUGACUGCGUACCUUUUGUAUAAUGGGUCAGCGACUUAUUUUCAGUGGCGAGCUUAACCGAAUAGGGGAGGCGUAGCGAAAGCGAGUCUUAAUAGGGCGUCUAGUCGCUGGGAAUAGACCCGAAACCGGGCGAUCUAUCCAUGGGCAGGUUGAAGGUUGGGUAACACUAACUGGAGGACCGAACCGACUACCGUUGAAAAGUUAGCGGAUGACCUGUGGAUCGGAGUGAAAGGCUAAUCAAGCUCGGAGAUAGCUGGUUCUCCUCGAAAGCUAUUUAGGUAGCGCCUCAUGUAUCACUGUAGGGGGUAGAGCACUGUUUCGGCUAGGGGGUCAUCCCGACUUACCAAACCGAUGCAAACUCCGAAUACCUACAAGUGCCGAGCAUGGGAGACACACGGCGGGUGCUAACGUCCGUCGUGAAAAGGGAAACAACCCAGACCGUCAGCUAAGGUCCCAAAGUUAUGGUUAAGUGGGAAACGAUGUGGGAAGGCUUAGACAGCUAGGAGGUUGGCUUAGAAGCAGCCACCCUUUAAAGAAAGCGUAAUAGCUCACUAGUCGAGUCGGCCUGCGCGGAAGAUGUAACGGGGCUCAAACCAUACACCGAAGCUACGGGUAUCACGUAAGUGAUGCGGUAGAGGAGCGUUCUGUAAGCCUGUGAAGGUGAGUUGAGAAGCUUGCUGGAGGUAUCAGAAGUGCGAAUGCUGACAUGAGUAACGACAAUGGGUGUGAAAAACACCCACGCCGAAAGACCAAGGUUUCCUGCGCAACGUUAAUCGACGCAGGGUUAGUCGGUCCCUAAGGCGAGGCUGAAAAGCGUAGUCGAUGGAAAACAGGUUAAUAUUCCUGUACUUCUGGUUAUUGCGAUGGAGGGACGGAGAAGGCUAGGCCAGCUUGGCGUUGGUUGUCCAAGUUUAAGGUGGUAGGCUGAGAUCUUAGGUAAAUCCGGGAUCUUAAGGCCGAGAGCUGAUGACGAGCUAACUUUUAGUUAGCGAAGUGGUUGAUGCCAUGCUUCCAAGAAAAGCUUCUAAGCUUCAGGUAACCAGGAACCGUACCCCAAACCGACACAGGUGGUUGGGUAGAGAAUACCAAGGCGCUUGAGAGAACUCGGGUGAAGGAACUAGGCAAAAUGGCACCGUAACUUCGGGAGAAGGUGCGCCGGUGAGGGUGAAGGACUUGCUCCGUAAGCUCAUGCCGGUCGAAGAUACCAGGCCGCUGCGACUGUUUAUUAAAAACACAGCACUCUGCAAACACGAAAGUGGACGUAUAGGGUGUGACGCCUGCCCGGUGCCGGAAGGUUAAUUGAUGGGGUUAGCUAACGCGAAGCUCUUGAUCGAAGCCCCGGUAAACGGCGGCCGUAACUAUAACGGUCCUAAGGUAGCGAAAUUCCUUGUCGGGUAAGUUCCGACCUGCACGAAUGGCGUAACGAUGGCGGCGCUGUCUCCACCCGAGACUCAGUGAAAUUGAAAUCGCUGUGAAGAUGCAGUGUAUCCGCGGCUAGACGGAAAGACCCCGUGAACCUUUACUAUAGCUUUGCACUGGACUUUGAAUUUGCUUGUGUAGGAUAGGUGGGAGGCUUUGAAGCGUGGACGCCAGUUCGCGUGGAGCCAUCCUUGAAAUACCACCCUGGCAACUUUGAGGUUCUAACUCAGGUCCGUUAUCCGGAUCGAGGACAGUGUAUGGUGGGUAGUUUGACUGGGGCGGUCUCCUCCUAAAGAGUAACGGAGGAGUACGAAGGUGCGCUCAGACCGGUCGGAAAUCGGUCGUAGAGUAUAAAGGCAAAAGCGCGCUUGACUGCGAGACAGACACGUCGAGCAGGUACGAAAGUAGGUCUUAGUGAUCCGGUGGUUCUGUAUGGAAGGGCCAUCGCUCAACGGAUAAAAGGUACUCCGGGGAUAACAGGCUGAUACCGCCCAAGAGUUCAUAUCGACGGCGGUGUUUGGCACCUCGAUGUCGGCUCAUCACAUCCUGGGGCUGAAGCCGGUCCCAAGGGUAUGGCUGUUCGCCAUUUAAAGUGGUACGCGAGCUGGGUUUAGAACGUCGUGAGACAGUUCGGUCCCUAUCUGCCGUGGACGUUUGAGAUUUGAGAGGGGCUGCUCCUAGUACGAGAGGACCGGAGUGGACGAACCUCUGGUGUUCCGGUUGUCACGCCAGUGGCAUUGCCGGGUAGCUAUGUUCGGAAUAGAUAACCGCUGAAAGCAUCUAAGCGGGAAACUAGCCUCAAGAUGAGAUCUCACUGGAACCUUGA
rnacentral:rRNA from 2 species